AAAAAAUGUUGUUUAUCUAUUGACCUUUUUGCUUCUGGAUACAUUUAUCUUUUGUAUUUCUGUACCUUUUUUUCUAACUUGUUUUUUUCUAGUCAUAGACAUAGUUUUUGUGCUUGCAAAUUUCGAAUGUCAAUGCUUUGAAUAUAGAAAUGAGAAAACUCCCUGGAGACAAGUCCUCUAGGCAAAUCUAUUCAAGGUCUUGUGUUUUGAGUGAUUCCAUCCCAAUAGCUGGCCUCUCUCUUUACUGUUCUUUCUUUCAUUUUGUGAUUGAUGCAGCUAUUUAAUUUAAUGAAUUAACUUGGUUCUUUAUUUUGGGUCGUCUACUCAAUCCUUUUUUUCUCCUUUCCCUCUUCUUUUCCCCGUCCUUACUUCUUUUCUUGCAGUAUCGAAAUUUAAUGAUUGAUGUAACUGUAACAUGUUAGGGUGUUGAUGAGAUGGAAGAG
rnacentral:misc_RNA from 1 species